GACGAACGCUGGCGGCAUGCCUAAUACAUGCAAGUCGAGCGGAGUUAUGAAGGAGCUUGCUCUGGAUUAACUUAGCGGCGGACGGGUGAGUAACACGUAGGCAACCUGCCCUCAAGACUGGGAUCACUACCGGAAACGGUAGCUAAUACCGGAUAAUUUCUUUCCUCUCCUGAAGAGAGAAUGAAAGGCGGAGCAAUCUGCCGCUUGGGGAUGGGCCUGCGGCGCAUCAGCUAGUUGGUGGGGUAACGGCCCACCAAGGCGACAAUGCGUAGCCGACCUGAGAGGGUGAACGGCCACACUGGGACUGAGACACGGCCCAG
rnacentral:rRNA from 1 species